rnacentral:sRNA from 1 species
CGGUGCCUCUGGAGCAAGCGUGGGGCGCGGGAACCCGAGCAGGACUCUCCAGUCCUCAGUCACCUUGGACAAAGAAGUGUGGAUCCUCAGAUUCCAUCUUUUCCAACUCCAAGGUGCCAUGGCAGAGAAGGUGCUGGUAACAGGUGGGGCUGGCUACAUUGGCAGCCACACGGUGCUGGAGCUGCUGGAGGCUGGCUACUUGCCUGUGGUCAUCGAUAACUUCCAUAAUGCCUUCCGUGGAGGGGGCUCCCUGCCUGAGAGCCUGCGGCGGGUCCAGGAGCUGACAGGCCGCUCUGUGGAGUUUGAGGAGAUGGACAUUUUGGACCAGGGAGCCCUACAGCGUCUCUUCAAAAAGCACAGCUUUAUGGCGGUCAUCCACUUUGCGGGGCUCAAGGCCGUGGGCGAGUCGGUGCAGAAGCCUCUGGAUUAUUACAGAGUUAACCUGACCGGGACCAUCCAGCUUCUGGAGAUCAUGAAGGCCCACGGGGUGAAGAACCUGGUGUUCAGCAGCUCAGCCACUGUGUACGGGAACCCCCAGUACCUGCCCCUGGACGAGGCCCACCCCACGGGUGGUUGUACCAACCCUUACGGCAAGUCCAAGUUCUUCAUCGAGGAAAUGAUCCGGGACCUGUGCCAGGCAGACAAGACUUGGAACGCAGUGCUGCUGCGCUAUUUCAACCCCACAGGUGCCCAUGCCUCUGGCUGCAUUGGUGAGGAUCCCCAGGGCAUACCCAACAACCUCAUGCCUUAUGUCUCCCAGGUGGCGAUCGGGCGACGGGAGGCCCUGAAUGUCUUUGGCAAUGACUAUGACACAGAGGAUGGCACAGGUGUCCGGGAUUACAUCCAUGUCGUGGAUCUGGCCAAGGGCCACAUUGCAGCCUUAAGGAAGCUGAAAGAACAGUGUGGCUGCCGGGUAGGAAGAGAAGGGAGAAGUGAGGGAGGGGAGUGACCAGAUCCAGGCAGAGCGGCCCAGAGGGGUGGUCAGUCCAGCCCGCUCCAUAAACCCUGUUCUCCGCGGGCCAGAUCUACAACCUGGGCACGGGCACAGGCUAUUCAGUGCUGCAGAUGGUCCAGGCUAUGGAGAAGGCCUCUGGGAAGAAGAUCCCGUACAAGGUGGUGGCACGGCGGGAAGGUGAUGUGGCAGCCUGUUACGCCAACCCCAGCCUGGCCCAAGAGGAGCUGGGGUGGACAGCAGCCUUAGGGCUGGACAGGAUGUGUGAGGAUCUCUGGCGCUGGCAGAAGCAGAAUCCUUCAGGCUUUGGCACGCAAGCCUGAGGACCCUCCCCUACCAAGGACCAGGAAAAGCAGCAGCUGCCUGCUCUCCAGCCUCUGGCAGGAACUCAGGGCCCUGGAGCUGCUGGGGCCAAGCCAAGGCCUCCCCUACCUCAAACCCCAGCUGGGCCCGCUCAGCCCACCAGGCAUGAGGCCAAGGGCUCCACUGACCAGGAGGCCGAGGUCUCUAACUCUUAUCUUCCACAGGGUCCAAGAGUUCAUCAGGACCCCCAAGAGUGAGUGAGGGGGCAAGGCUCUGGCACAAAACCUCCUCCUCCCAGGCACUCAUUU